rnacentral:rRNA from 1 species
GACGAACGCUGGCGGCGUGCUUAACACAUGCAAGUCGAACGGAAAGGCCCUGCUUUUGUGGGUUGCUCAAGUGGCGAACGUGUGAGUAACACGGGAGUAACCUGCCCUUGACUUUGGGAUAACUUCAGGAAACUGGGGCUAAUACCGGAUAGGAGCUCCUGCUGCAUGGUGGGGGUUGGAAAGUUUCGGCGGUUGGGGAUGGACUCGCGGCUUAUCAGCUUGUUGGUGGGGUAGUGGCUUACCAAGGCUUUGACGGGUAGCCGGCCUGAGAGGGUGACCGGCGACAUUGGGACUGAGAUACGGCCCAGACUCCUACGGGAGGCAGCAGUGGGGAAUAUUGCACAAUGGGCGGAAGCCUGAUGAAGAAACGCCGCGUGCGGGAUGACGGCCUUCGGGUUGUAAACCGCUUCUGCCUGUGACGAAGCGUGAGUGACGGUAAUGGGUAAAGAAGCACCGGCUAACUACGUG